rnacentral:rRNA from 1 species
GGACGAACGCUGGCGGCGUGCUUAACACAUGCAAGUCGAACGGUGAAGCGCCUUCCUUUUUGGUGGGUGUGGAUGAGUGGCGAACGGGUGAGUAACACGUGAGUAACCUGCCCCCUUCUUCUGGAUAACCGCAUGAAAGUGUGGCUAAUACGGGAUAUUCUGGGUCUGUCGCAUGAUGGGUCUGGGAAAGAUAUUGUUUCGGUGGGGGAUGGGCUCGCGGCCUAUCAGCUUGUUGGUGGGGUGAUGGCCUACCAAGGCGGUGACGGGUAGCCGGCCUGAGAGGGUGGACGGUCACACUGGGAGUGAGACACGGCCCAGACUACGACGGGAGGCAGCAGUGGGGAAUAUUGCACAAUGGGCGGAAGCCUGAUGCAGCGACGCCGCGUGAGGGAUGGAGGCCUUCGGGUUGUGAACCUCUUUCGCCAGUGAAGCAGGCCUGCCUCGUUUGUGGGUGGGUUGACGGUAGCUGGAUAAGAAGCGCCGGCUAACUACGUG